AUAAGCGUUGUUUCAGUGUCAACUUGCGUUACACGAAAGCCGGUAAAUUGGACAGUUCGGAGCUACCAGAACAAGCAUAUCUGGGAAGAGGAUACUGAAAGAAGGCCGAUGCAACAACCAUGGGGAAUGAUCAGAAAUAAUAUUCUGCCACGGAUUCAGGGGAAGUUUACGAUUAUAUUUGGGUCUUUGUUCUUAGGUAAAACUACUGAAGCCAUUUACUUGGAAACAACUAAAUUGGCAAGGAUGAAGAAAUGUAUUCAAUUAAUGCUAAACAUUGGCUUAUGUUCCAUUCCAUUUGCUAAAAAAAAACAUGCCUUGCAUUGUUUUUAGUAGUUUACUAUGAAGAUUUUGAAUUAUAAAAGGUAAAGCCAAACCUUCCAGCCAUUCGCUCACUGAAGUAUCAGAAGUGACUUGAAUUCUGGUCCACUGUUUCCUCUGGAAUGCUGAAAAAAAUCUCAGCGAAUAUGGAAGUGCACACAGACCUACAAAAUAUCCCAUAGAAGCAAAUUCUUUAAUGAUAGACUUCAGUGACAAUGUAGCAUUGUUAAUGUGCUGCAUUUUUCAGGAUUGCCAUA